rnacentral:tRNA from 1 species
GCGGCAGUGGUGUAGGGGUAACACAAUAGCCUUCCAAGCUCUUAUCACGGGUUCGAAUCCCGUCUGCCGCUC